rnacentral:lncRNA from 1 species
AAUUUAUUGAAUGCCAGCACUGCAAGACAAGCCUGAUUAGAUAAUCUGGGGAACAGUCUGCGAGCACCUCCAGUGCAGAAGACAGGUGCCCCGGACAAGAUUCAAGUAGUCUGGAUUCAAAACAAAACACAAAAAAUCCGGCAGCUGCCGCUUUGAAGUGGGAAGCAGCCAAACAGGUGGCCACGGGGCUGCCACCACUUCCGGCUCCUGAGGUGGCAGCAGUUACAAACCACAGCGGAGCGAGGCAGAGUGAGACAAAGGACGCAGGACUCUAUGGGGGUUACCAGCAGAGCUGGUUUGCUGAUUGUCACAGGGUAAAGGGGAAGUCUGUUUUCAGGAACCCAUGGGAAUGUUUGUUGAGCCUCUUAUAACCAGUUGGUACAUUUAGAUGAGAGAUUAGAUACAGCUUGGGAAUCCUGAUAUCAAAAUCACUUCAGAUGUGAGUAGACAUUUCUACUACUAUGUUUUUGCUUGGGGGUAUUUGACAAAUGUCAUUUUCCUGAAAGGUUAAGGAAACUUAUGGAAAAUGUCUCUAGGACAAAGAAUUUGGCUCCAAGUUGAUCAUUUAAGUGAAGAAGCAGAUUUUCAGUAAAUAAUUGUACUAGGGAAAUAGGACGAAUAUGGGUUUGCCUCUGCCAUUAUAUUCCAGCAAACAUAGUCCCAUUACUUUUAAAUGUAACUUACAAAUAAGUAGUCCAUUAUUUCUAGCUGAUUCUGAUGUCUUUGAAAUGAAUUGCUUACUGAAUUGAUUGCACCUGUCCCUUUGAAAGUGGACGGAAGAGGGCAGGCAGCUAGAUGGCUCAGUGGGUUGAGGGCCAGGCCUAGAGACUGGAGGUCCUGGGUUCAAAUCUAGUCUCAGCUACUUACUAGCUGUGUGACCCUGGGCAAGUCACUUAACCCCCAUUGCUUAGAUGCCUUGGAAUCAAUAUGUAGUCUUGAUUCUAGGACAAGAAGGUAAGGGCUUUAAAAAAAAUAAUUAGUUAAAAAAAGAAAGGAUGGGACUUUCAGAUAUAAUCCUCUCCUGGAGGAUUAUAUGGAAUAUAUGGAAAUUUUGCUAAUUGCAUUUGAUGCUUGUUUAGAAUUGUAAAAAAUUAAAAUAAA